rnacentral:rRNA from 1 species
AGGGUUUGAUCAUGGCUCAGAACGAACGCUGGCGGCAGGCUUAACACAUGCAAGUCGAACGAUAUAGUGGCAGACGGGUGAGUAACGCGUGGAAACGUGCCUUUCACUACGGAAUAGCUUUUGGAAACGAAAGGUAAUACCGUAUACGCCCUCCGGGGGAAAGAUUUAUCGGUGAAAGAUCGGUCCGCGUUAGAUUAGCUAGUUGGUGAGGUAAGAGCUCACCAAGGCGACGAUCUAUAGCUGGUCUGAGAGGAUGAUCAGCCACACUGGGACUGAGACACGGCCCAGACUCCUACGGGAGGCAGCAGUGGGGAAUAUUGCACAAUGGGCGCAAGCCUGAUGCAGCCAUGCCGCGUGAAUGAUGAAGGCCUUAGGGUUGUAAAAUUCUUUCGCCAAGGAUGAUAAUGACAGUACUUGGUAAAGAAGCCCCGGCUAACUUCGUGCCAGCAGCCGCGGUAAUACGAAGGGGGCUAGCGUUGUUCGGAAUUACUGGGCGUAAAGCGCACGUAGGCGGACUUUUAAGUCAGAUGUGAAAUCCCAAGGCUCAACCUUGGAACUGCAUUUGAAACUGGGAGUCUAGAGAUCAGGAGAGGUUAGUGGAAUACCGAGUGUAGAGGUGAAAUUCGUAGAUAUUCGGUGGAACACCAGUGGCGAAGGCGACUAACUGGACUGAUACUGACGCUGAGGUGCGAAAGUGUGGGGAGCAAACAGGAUUAGAUACCCUGGUAGUCCACACCGUAAACGAUGAGAGCUAGUUGUCUGCAGGCAUGCCUGUAGGUGACGCAGCUAACGCAUUAAGCUCUCCGCCUGGGGAGUACGGCCGCAAGGUUAAAACUCAAAGAAAUUGACGGGGGCCCGCACAAGCGGUGGAGCAUGUGGUUUAAUUCGAAGCAACGCGCAGAACCUUACCUACGCUUGACAUGCCUGGACGACUCCGAGAGAUCGGUUCCUCCCUUCG